UGUACAUGUUACUCUCCUUCAAUGAUCCUAAGUCAGUGAGUGAAUGAGAUCAUCAGCAGAGACAAACAUUCUGUUAGUCAGAGCUGUGAGAGGAAGGAGGAAAGGAUGAAGGGAGGAGCUAAACUGGAACUCAAGUACAGAAAACACACAAACUUUCACAGUGGAGUUUGAUCCAAGAACAGACAGAUUGUCUUCAUCUUCAAGAUGCUGUCAGUGAACUUCAGUCUGUUUGUCAUUUUGUUUCUGCUCACAAUAAGAGAGUGUAAAGCAGAAGACAGAGUGAUACAGUCAUCAGAAGAUGUCUUUGCUGCUGAAGGAGACACAGUUACACUGGAUUGUACUUUUGAGAGCAGUUACACAAAUAAUAUUUUGUUCUGGUACAAACAAGAAGUGAAUGGCUUUCCAAAGUACAUUUUAAAACGUGGUCCUUAUGGAGAUGGUAAUGCUCCAGAGUUCAAAGACAGAUUUGAUGCCAAACUCAACAAGACAUCAGUUCCUCUGAAGAUCCAGGAGCUUCAUCUGUCAGACUCUGCUGUGUACUACUGUGCUCUGCAGCCCACAGUGACAGGAAACAGCAAAACUCUGUACAAAAACCUUUGGAGCAACGACAAGAGAAAACUCCACAACAUCCACUAGAGGGAGACACACUCUGUUACACUUCUGUGGUUUCCAGAAUUCAGCUGAGAUUUUUU